rnacentral:rRNA from 1 species
UACGUAGGGCGCAAGCGUUGUCCGGAAUUAUUGGGCGUAAAGAGCUCGUAGGCGGUUUGUUGCGUCUGCCGUGAAAACCCGAGGCUUAACCUCGGGCUGGCGGUGGAUACGGGCAGACUAGAGGUAGGUAGGGGAGAAUGGAAUUCCCGGUGUAGCGGUGAAAUGCGCAGAUAUCGGGAGGAACACCGGUGGCGAAGGCGGUUCUCUGGGCCUUACCUGACGCUGAGGAGCGAAAGCGUGGGGAGCGAACAGG